rnacentral:lncRNA from 10 species
AUUAUCAGGUCCUUUUGAACAUUUCAUUGUUUUGGUAAAAAUAACAAAUGCUCUUUUAAAUUUUUUAAAAUAGUACCCCAUGUUGUGCAAAAAUAUUUUCUAUUAGUUAUACCCUGUGUCUAUUUAUUACCAUUUACUGCUGGUAGACCAUGUCCUGAUGUCUUACUUGAUUUAAUUUUUAUAAUAAAGUUUUAGGGACAAGUAUGUCAAAUUUGUUUCAGAAAUCUUUUUUUUUUUUUUUUCGGACAUAGUCUUGCUCUUUCGCCAGGAUGGUGUGCAGUGGCGUGAUCUCGGCUCACUGAAACCUCCACCUCCUGGGUUCAAGCAAUUCUCCUGCCUCAGCCUCCCAAGUAGCUGAGACUACAGGCGAACACCACCACGCCCAGCUAAUUUUUGUAUUUUUAGUAGAGAUGGGUUUUCAUCAUGUUGGCCUGGAUGGUCUCGAUCUCUUGACCUUGUGAUCUGCCACCUCGGCCUCCCAAAGUGCUGGGAUUACAGGCGUGAGCCACCGCGCCAAGCUACACGCCUGGCCAGAAUCAUGUAUUUUUAUAUAAAGAAGCCUUAAAAAAGUGAUAAAUGCUUUUUUAAAAAACUGUAACAAUACAGGAAGCCACACAAGAAUGCCCAACUGACUUUUUAAAUAUCAAAUGUGAUUUUGCUAUUAUAAUAUUUUAAAAUAUCUCAAAUGAGCAAUUCAAAAACAAAAACAAAAAAAUCCUGAGAAUCCAAUCCCCUAGUUGAUUUUACGACCCAACAAUGGGUUACAAAUUAUAAUUUGAAAACUACUAAUCCAGCUUCCCACUCAACUCUUGUAUUUCUUUUUAUAAUUCAUCAUAAAAUGUGGUGUCCAAGGGUUCAAGUCACUUUCAGGAGGUAAUACUUUGGGAGGCCGAAGUGGGCGGACUGCUUGAGGUCAGG